CAGAAAUGAGGAGAAUUUGAAGCAGUCUGAUCAAUCUGAUGACUGUCAGAUCCAACUCUGAUCUCAUUUGUGUA